rnacentral:rRNA from 1 species
AUUGAACGCUGGCGGCAGGCCUAACACAUGCAAGUCGAGCGGAUGAAGGGAGCUUGCUCCUGGAUUCAGCGGCGGACGGGUGAGUAAUGCCUAGGAAUCUGCCUGGUAGUGGGGGAUAACGUCCGGAAACGGGCGCUAAUACCGCAUACGUCCUGCGGGAGAAAGUGGGGGAUCUUCGGACCUCACGCUAUCAGAUGAGCCUAGGUCGGAUUAGCUAGUUGGUGGGGUAAAGGCCUACCAAGGCGACGAUCCGUAACUGGUCUGAGAGGAUGAUCAGUCACACUGGAACUGAGACACGGUCCAGACUCCUACGGGAGGCAGCAGUGGGGAAUAUUGGACAAUGGGCGAUAGCCUGAUCCAGCCAUGCCACGUGUGUGAAGAAGGUCUUCGGAUUGUAAAGCACUUUAAGUUGGGAGGAAGGGCAGUAAGUUAAUACCUUGCUGUUUUGACGUUACCAACAGAAUAAGCACCGGCUAACUUCGUG